UACGUAGGGGGCAAGCGUUGUCCGGAUUUAUUGGGCGUAAAGAGCGUGUAGGCGGCUAGAUAGGUCCGUUGUGAAAACUCGAGGCUCAACCUCGAGACGCCGGUGGAAACCAUCUAGCUAGAGUCCGGAAGAGGAGACUGGAAUUCCUGGUGUAGCGGUGGAAUGCGCAGAUAUCAGGAGGAACACCGGUGGCGAAGGCGGGUCUCUGGGCAGUAACUGACGCUGAGGAGCGAAAGCGUGGGGAGCGAACAGG
rnacentral:rRNA from 1 species